rnacentral:misc_RNA from 1 species
GAUGAAGAACGUAGCGAAAUGCGAUAAGUAAUGCGAAUUCCAGAAUUCAGUGAAUCAUCGAAUCUUUGAACGCACAUUGCGCCCGCUAGUAUUCUGGCGGGCAUGCCUGUCUGAGCGUCAUUUCUACCCUCGCCCCCGGCUUUUGCUGGGAGCGGUGUUGGGGAUCGGCCGCCCGUCACUGGGAGGCCGGCCCCGAAAUAGAGUGGCGACCACGCCGUGUGCUCCUCUGCGUAGUAGUAAAUCACCUCGCAGGCGGACAGCGGUGCGGCCUGCCGUAAAACCCCCAACUCUUUCUGGUUGACCUCAGAUCAGGUAGGAAUACCCGCUGAACUUAAGCAUAUCAAUAAGCGGAGGA